rnacentral:rRNA from 1 species
ACGGGAGGCAGCGGUGGGGAAUAUUGGACAAUGGGGGAAACCCUGAUCCAGCGACGCCGCGUGAGUGAAGAAGUAUUUCGGUAUGUAAGGCUCUAUCAGCAGGGAAGAUAAUGACGGUACCUGACUAAGAAGCACCGGCUAACUACGUGCCAGCAGCCGCGGUAAUACGUAGGGGGCAAGCGUUAUCCGGAUUUACUGGGUGUAAAGGGAGCGUAGACGGUAUGGCAAGUCUGAAGUGAAAUCCCGGGGCUCAACCCCGGAACUGCUGUGGAAACUGUUUAGCUAGAGUGCAGGAGAGGUAAGCGGAAUUCCUAGUGUAGCGGUGAAAUGCGUAGAUAUUAGGAGGAACACCAGUGGCGAAGGCGGCUUACUGGACUGUAACUGACGUUGAGGCUCGAAAGCGUGGGGAGCAAACAGGAUUAGAUACCCUGGUA